GGUUAAAACUCAAAUGAAUUGACGGGGGCCCGCACAAGCGGUGGAGCAUGUGGUUUAAUUCGAUGCAACGCGAAGAACCUUACCUGGUCUUGACAUCCACAGAAGAAUCCAGAGAUGGAUUUGUGCCUUCGGGAACUGUGAGACAGGUGCUGCAUGGCUGUCGUCAGCUCGUGUUGUGAAAUGUUGGGUUAAGUCCCGCAACGAGCGCAACCCUUAUCCUUUGUUGCCAGCGGUUAGGCCGGGAACUCAAAG
rnacentral:rRNA from 1 species